GUUGCUCAUUCAAAUUCAAAGUUUCUUUUGAAUUUGAAUGGCCAACCAACCAUUCUUAUCCACCUAUAUGGCGCACAAAUGUGGGGCGUGGGAAGGGCUUUACGUGAGAGAAAAUUCAAGAGAAGUUGCUUCUCGUGAAUUCAAAUGGGCGCAGAGAUAUCAGGUGGCGCAGGGAGUUUGGGUCAAGGUGGUUUCUCAUUUUAAAC
rnacentral:lncRNA from 1 species